rnacentral:rRNA from 1 species
CGAAGGGUGCAAGCGUUAAUCGGAAUUAUUGGGCGUAAAGAGCUCGUAGGCGGUUUGUCGCGUCUGCUGUGAAAGCCCGGGGCUUAACCCCGUGGUGUGCAGUGGGUACGGGCAGACUAGAGUGCAGUAGGGGAGACUGGAAUUCCUGGUGUAGCGGUGAAAUGCGCAGAUAUCAGGAGGAACACCGAUGGCGAAGGCAGGUCUCUGGGCUGUUACUGACGCUGAGGAGCGAAAGCAUGGGGAGCGAACAGGAUU